GUUGGGGGUGCUCUUAUANGUAAGGGUCUCUUGCCUGGAGGGGAUAGUCCACUCUACCCUGGCUGUGGUGGUGUAUGAGCCACCGCAGACACCCAAGUGUGACGGUUCCCCACCUGGAGGGGCGAGUUCCUUCUAUCCUGGCUGUGGCAGCAUGUGAGUUCCCCUGACACCUAGGUGGGAGGUAUCUCCUGCCUACACGAGGGAGUCCUCUCUACCCUGGCUGUAGAGGUAUACAAGCUUCCUCAGACACCCAGAUGGGAGGGGGUCUCCUGCCUGAAGGGGCGAGUACCCUCUACCCUGGCUGCAGUGGUAUAUGAGCUCCCCUUGGUACCCAAGUGGGAAGGGUUUCCCGUCUGGAGGGGUAAGUUGCCUCUACCCUGGCUAAGGUGGUAUACCAGCUCCCUGGGACACCCAGGUGGAAGCGGUUUCCCGCCUGGAGGGGAAAGUCCCCUCAACUCUGGCUGCUGCAGUAUAGGAGCUCUGCUGACACCCAGGUGAGGGGAAUAUCCCACCUAGAGGGAAGGGUCCCCGGGCCACAGCCUGUGGAGGUAUAGGACAUCCCAUUGGCACUCAGGUGGGAGGGGCAAGUCCCUCCACCCUGGCUCUGGAAAUAUAGGAACUCCCCCCCACACCCAGCGUGGAAGGGUCUCUUGCCUUGAGGGACAAGUCACCUCUACAAUGAUUGCAGCGGGAUAAGAGCUCCCCCUGACAACCAGGUGAAAGGGGUCUCCUGCCUGGAGGGAUGAGUCCCUGCUAACCUGGAUAAAGUGGAAUACAAGCUGCAGACUUCUGGUAAAGUUCAAAUGGUGAACAGGACUUUAAGUAUCAAUUGUGUAAGCUGUGUCAGGAGACUCACUUACAUUGUGAUGAAUUUCUCAGUAUGACACUGUAGAUGAUUAGAUCCAUUCCCACCAAGAGGACUGGAUUCUCUCAUUAUAAGAUAAUGUAUGUGAGGCCACCCUAUUAUUAGGGGGACCAUUGGGAGACUUAAGAGAGAUAGGAGAAUUCACCCUGACAAGACAUAGGGAAAAUUUAACAGUUUCUCAACCAAUGUGUUAGAGAAAGAUUGCCACUAAGUUUGACCACAGGUGCACACUCCAUCAAGCCUGAAGAUGGAUUCUGCAUCAAAGAAUGGAAUAUUCAAACACCUAAACUUCUUUGGAAGGGCUCUUUCUCUGUUAUUUUAUGCACUCCAAUUGCAAUCAAGUUUGCAGACGUAGGUUCCUUGAUUGACUACACCAGACUCAAACAUACAGAUGUGGACUGGAUGUGCCCUCUAGAUGCUGUUAUACCCUGGAAGCUUACUGUCUGAAAAAAAGGAGCACCAGAGAAGCUUGAGUGUCAGAAACAAAACAGCCCUGCUUCAGUUACUCUGGAAGCUGACUGUUUUAUGAAUAGCUGAAGCCUGAGGAGGCUAUGGCCCUGCUUCAGCUGCAUGGGAGGGACUGGCUGAUCAGUGCACAAUGAAAGAUAAACUUUUGAACAGGACUAAUAAAUGCUUUCAACCCCUAAAAUAGUUCUUAUACUAUAAUUCAC
rnacentral:lncRNA from 1 species